UACGUAGGGUGCGAGCGUUGUCCGGAAUUAUUGGGCGUAAAGAGCUCGUAGGCGGUCUGUCGCGUCGGCUGUGAAAUCCCGAGGCUCAACCUCGGGUCUGCAGUCGAUACGGGCAAACUAGAGUAUUGCAGGGGAGACUGGAAUUCCUGGUGUAGCGGUGAAAUGCGCAGAUAUCAGGAGGAACACCGGUGGCGAAGGCGGGUCUCUGGGCCGAUACUGACGCUGAGGAGCGAAAGCGUGGGGAGCGAACAGG
rnacentral:rRNA from 1 species